GACUCUAUAGCUCAGUGGUAGAGCAUACGAUUGCAGUCAGCGACUCAUCGUAGGGGCCCGUGUUCGAACCACGGUGGGGUCU